CACCGUGGGUGAACAGCUGAGAUGCGAUCCGCCAUUAUUCCUUUGUCAGUUACAGCACGUUGACGCCGGAGUCCGUGCCUCCGUGCGCGUGGCUUUAUUGAUCCGUAUUAAUCCAUAUGAAUUCACGCGGAGUCUGUCCAAAUUUGUGUUCAAAUCGUCUCUAAAGCCCCCAUCUUCUCUUUGAAUCUAUCUAUUUUGACCUGCCACGUAUAUUUUCUGAGAUUUCUUAGUAACUCGUAUCGAAUACUUUUUGGAGGUUAGGAGUUGCUGCAAUGAAUCUGGCUGGCGGAAUGAGUGAAUUAUGAACACUUGAAGUGUUAUCAUGGGGGUCCUCAUUUAUUCUCUCGGCCCAUGGUGUUAUGCCUAAGCAAAAUGUUUGUGUUAUUGAGUGAAUAUCGGUGCUGUGUGAAGUCAUCUCGAAAGCGUUAAGAAGCGUUCGUACGAGUACAUCUGCUGUUCGUGUUUAAAUUUUCGAAGACCAAAAUACUCAGAUGAAGAGCCAAAUGUGCGUGGAAUUUUUGUUCAACAGUAAGCUUUAAUCAAAAGUUGAGUUUUGCCCCACCGUGAACUUUGUGGCGCUUGGAUUUACGUGCAGUGUCUCAUAUUUUUCGAAAGAUAAAUUAGGUAUUCUAUGUGGUUAAAGAGGUUGUUUCUGAUUGUUGUUGGAAAAUUUCAUGCAUGUUUCAGAGCUGAAGCAAAUAUUUUGAAUAUCUGAUUUCAUGAAUACCUAGCCAGAAAACUAAUUACAUAAGUAGCUCUUUUAAAACAUGGGUUAAACCCCAAGUGGCCCUUGUGAAUAUUUGCUAAGAUUUCUGGACGUUUGAUUCAGGUAUAAUCAUACAAUUUCAACUGAAAAUUAGACUAUUGUGCACAUGAAUUUGGGCUUCAAACCGUUCGCUGAGGAAAGGAAACCGAAAUCUGUUAGAGCUCGAUAUAUGAUGUGUUAUGUUGGCCAUCGGACAUCCUGAUUGGUAGUUGUGUUCGGCUCCCAUGUGGAAGGAAGGUCCUCAGGGAUCACUCUCGUUGUACUUUCGCUAAAUAUAUCAUCGUACGUUCUCGCCUGUGGCGUUUUCAGUCUGAAAUGGUGUCAUCUCAUUUCAUUUCUUCUUUCUCUUGUGAUUAUCCCAUCCAUUAUUCUCCGCGCAUGAUCUUCCCUUCCCAAGUAAAAUUUUCCGUGAAACUGUGAGUUUUUUCCAAAGAAUCGGAGUCACGGAAUUUUCGGACAGAAAAUUGUCCCUGACCAUGAUUUCCCAAAAGCUGGUUUUCGUGACCAUGAUUUCCGAGGCCGUGAUUUCCGCGAGGCCGUGAUUUCCCCGGCCGUGAUUUUCGAGGCCGUGCAAUUUCCGUGGCCACGAUUCCGUUGCAGCUAGUUUCCGUGCUGUACUAGCUUACAUGGUUUACCUGCUUCAUGGCAUGGAAAUCUCAUAGUUACACAUGCAAAUUUCUGAUCGUGAAGUUUUUGAGCAGAGAAAAAAUUAUUUGCACUUCUAAUGAAAGGUCACUGUGAACAAUUUUAAACAUGA
rnacentral:lncRNA from 1 species